UAUCUGGUUGAUCCUGCCAGUAGUCAUAUGCUUGUCUCAAAGAUUAAGCCAUGCAUGUCUAAGUAUAAGCACUUGUACUGUGAAACUGCGAAUGGCUCAUUAAAUCAGUUAUCGUUUAUUUGAUUGUACCUUUACCACUUGG
rnacentral:ncRNA from 1 species